AGGAGAGCUUGCUUCAUGUGACGUCACCGAUGACGUGUGAACCACUUCACUGCUUCAUUCAGACCGAGUCAGCUGACUGCUUCGACUUGACUGGCGGAGUUUCAAACAUCUGGUGCGCUUCAGUGUAUUUAAGAUGGCUCAAGGCCCGGUUCACAUCCGGGUUCUACACGUAUUAUACGUUAUUAACAGCUCUCAUUUUUGGAUAUUCGGAGUUUUGGUGGAUUAUUCUGUCAUUAGCAACCAUCUAGGAAGUGUUCCCAAGUGUGGAAUAUUUCGAUUUGGUGCCACCUAACAAGAUGCAGUGUUUGCUUUGCCCGCAGCUGCUGACGUAUAAUAAUAAUAAGUCAUCAAUGCUGAGGCAUUAUUGAGUCAAACACGAGAACACUCAGCCUCCUGCCACCAAUCAAGGAUCCAGAAAGCAAGAGCUUGAUGAAGCUCUUGUGGACUUCAUAGUGAAUGUCUCCCAGCCUUUCUCUGUAUCCAAACCUAAACCACCCAGCCAAACAGUUCCUGGUCACACCAGCCUCCUCUGUUCCCUGUGAAAGAGUAUUUUCCAAAGCUGGAGAAAUUGUCUCAAAAAAAAAAGAAACCGUUUGAGUCCUUCUACUGUGCAGAAAUGACUUUUCUUGAAUAAAAACAC